UGGGGAAUAUUGCACAAUGGGCGCAAGCCUGAUGCAGCCAUGCCGCGUGUGUGAAGAAGGCCUUCGGGUUGUAAAGCACUUUCAGCGAGGAGGAAGGUGGUGAGCUUAAUACGCUCAUCAAUUGACGUUACUCGCAGAAGAAGCACCGGCUAACUCCGUGCCAGCAGCCGCGGUAAUACGGAGGGUGCAAGCGUUAAUCGGAAUUACUGGGCGUAAAGCGCACGCAGGCGGUUUGUUAAGUCAGAUGUGAAAUCCCCGGGCUCAACCUGGGAACUGCAUUUGAAACUGGCAAGCUAGAGUCUCGUAGAGGGGGGUAGAAUUCCAGGUGUAGCGGUGAAAUGCGUAGAGAUCUGGAGGAAUACCGGUGGCGAAGGCGGCCCCCUGGACGAAGACUGACGCUCAGGUGCGAAAGCGUGGGGCAGCAAACAGGAUUAGAUACCCUGGUAGUCCACGCUGUAAAACGAUGUCGAUUUGGAGGUUGUGCCCUUGAGGCGUGGCUUCCGGAGCUAACGCGUUAAAGUCGACCGCCUGGGGAGUACGGCCGCAAGGUUAAAACUCAAAUGAAUUGAC
rnacentral:rRNA from 1 species